rnacentral:lncRNA from 1 species
AUAGCUUUUAGGUUUCUGUAUGUGAUGAGGUCGAAAAAGAAACUGUCUGUUCAGGUUGGAUUUCUCUAUCAAGUCUGGAUCUGUAAUUGUAACCAAUCCUUUAUCUUGUCCAGUACCAACACCAAGAAGUGCAAAGUUUUUUAGCAUUUCACAGCCUAUUGCUCCACAGCCAACCAAGAAAACAUUCAAAUCAUGCAGCUUCUGGCACAGAGACUCUCCAAUACAAGCCCUCAAGGCAUCAUAUCUAUCUCCCC